GAAAUAGUCCAGUCAGUCUGUAAAUCGACCUCAAACAAAUUGCAACAGAAAAUAUUUUACCUGGUAUAGAAAGUAUAUGGAAUAACAUGAAUCAUAUCAAAAGUCUAGCAAAAUCUAAGUUGCGCAACAUAGAAAAAAAACGGGUUUUUAUAGCGUUAUUUUUUGUGAUUUUUUUCUGACGACAACGGUCUUCCAUAGGCGAACAAAGCGUCUCCGAUACUCAGAAUAGCGACUGCAUAAUGGCGACAACAACAACAAAAUUAGUGUAAACAAAAUAAAUGUCAGUAAAGUACACUGUAAAGUGGGUUGGUAUAUUUUCCUUAAAAUAUUACAGAUCAUAAUAGGAAUUAUUAAUGUGGGGUCAUGAACUCCUGUCGGAUUUGUUAACGGCUGUUUGAUGAUCAUACAAAGACAGUUAAAGGCAACGAAAAGGAAUGCAAGGGAAUAAAUGCUGCCAGUGAGAAAUAAAAGUUGAAUCGGAAUAAUAUAUUCACAUUGAGUGUAGAAAGAUGUACUGUAACCAACAUUACACUAAAAGAGACACUGAGACAGAAAAAGAAAACACUGAUGCCACCAUUGAGAUCAAUGACUGAUAAGUUUUCAUACAAAAAAGAUUGUUUAUAUUGUGGUCAAUCUUUAAUAAGUAAGGGUAAAACAAGGAAGUGUGAUGUUUCGCCAGUAAGGACACUAGAACCUACUGUUUUGAAUAUAUGUAUACAGAGGAAUGACUGUUUGUCUGAUACAGUGAGAGCAAGGAUAGAACAGGUUCACAACUUGCUUGUAGCCGAUGCUCUUUACCAUCAAACAUGUUUAUGCUCCUCUAAUUUCAGAACUGGAAAAGAUAUACCAGAAGAAUUUCAGGUGCUACCAUCUAGUGAUAAAAA